AUUUUAAAAUAUCGUUUUAGUGAGAAUGAUUUUGUGUAAUUUUGUAAUGAUUUCGAUUUGAGAAUCGCAAAUUUAGUGAAAAAGUAAUUUUCCGUGAGAAAUUUUCUUGUUAUAUUUUGUUUAACUUGAAAACCACGAAGGCGAAUUCGACAAAUUUGAUUAGGUGUUCGUGCGCGAUUCUACGCGAAAUUUUAACCCGUUAACGAAACGAAAGGUAAAUGUAGUGCACCUUCCAUAAUGCGGUUUGCCAAAAAGUAGGUGAUUGUUGGAUAAAUAACAAAAAAAAUGAUUUUCCAUUCUUCAUAAGAAAUAUUUCAAAAUACAUAUUUUACGUUUCUACUUGGUACUGCUAGAUAAUUCAAUUCAUUUGAACGUACGUUGAAAUUUUCCAAUAUUGUAAAUCGAAUAAAUUCUUUCUCCAUCCAUUAUUCCAAAAUUUAUGCUGAGAAAUUGAUAUUUUUCCCCAAAAUUGAAGGUAACACAAUUUCAAUAUGAUAUACGAGAAAUAUCCACAAAGAAAGUUUCAUUUGGUUAUAAAAAAACAUACGUGCAGGUCAAAAAAUAUAUUUUUCAUGGUGUUAACCUUAUUUUCUAUGUAGUUUCGAAAAUUUUUUUAAACACUUGUUUUUGUAUGCCUCCUCCAUGUUCUCCGGCUCGUUUCAACUUUGAAAGAGAAAUUUCAGGUGUAAGAAGAGAUGAAAGUCGGUAGGAGCAAGGCCCGACCUAUAAGGAGGAUGAUCAAACACACCCAAGCCAAAUUCUUGGAGCGGUUUUUAUGUCACGUCACAGUGCGAGAUGGGGCAUUAUCGUGAAAAAAAAAACAAAAACCAUUUGACAGUAAUCCACGGAGUUUGCUCUAUUUCUUAAUUUCCACGCAUGUGCCUAAAUCAAACGGCAAAACGUCGGAGAAAACGGUGGAAAUGAGUUGUCGAGGUGUCGAAAUUUGCAUCCCCCUAUGACUAUUCGAAAUAUAGGUUUUCAUUGCAACUUAGAAAAGGAACUUACAUUGUGGAUGUACCUCGUAUGAAAGAAAUACUAAAAUCAGUUAUUAAAACGUUUUAUUCAAAUUUUUCUAAAAUUUUCGGUUCGAAUUUUUGCAUCAAAUUUUGAUUGAAAUGAUUUUUUUUUGUUAUUUAUUGAGUGAGCAGAACUCUGAUCAGAUGUUGUUUCUUGUGUUUUUUUCUAGGAAUAUUUUGUUGAGAUUAAUACACUCACAGAUUUUAAUUAUUGAAGAAAAAUAGUUUGAAUUUUUUUUAACAUUCAGAAAGUUUUAACAAACAUCCAAUUAUACUUACAAAACAAUGUUUUCGAAAUCUUUAGGGAUCUUUUGAAAUUUGAAGUUAAAUUUAAAUAUUUCAUUUGAGCAUAAAAUUCAUAAUUCACUCGUGUUUAAAGCAAGUUUAUUCUCUAAAUUAUUACUCAGAUUACUUAGAAUAUGUCGCAAAUUUCGACUACUCCCUUAGAUUCAAACAGAAGAUUGUUAAUACUUAUGACCAAAGCUAAUUUUACUCAUUAUAUGAUAUUGAUCAAAUAAAAUCUUGACUUUGUUAUUUUAGAUUGAUUAAUUCUUUUCAGCGUUUACUGUAACACAUUUAAGUCCAGUAAAUAUUUGAUGAAUAAUUAUGAUGAUAAGCAUAUGAUAGAAUUGCUCCAAUACACCUCAAAUUCACUUUGAUUCGAAAUAGUAGUACAUGGAUCAUUCUGAUCAAUAUAAAUGAUAAUUAGAUAAUUAAGUAACUUCAAAAGGGGGAUUUCCAUUCAAAUGACUUUCUGAGUAAUCUGUUGAGAUUUUCCUGAUCUUUGAGAACAAAUCUGUUGUGUUAAUGAGAUGAUUGUGUGAUGAAUGUCUUUGGAAUUUGAUCAAAAAUGAGGCAGGCAACCGCCGCGAUAUGGAAAAGUGAUUCGUAAUUUUCGGUAUCGGUUUCGGUGUGCCGCGAUUCGAUUUUAAGUGAUGGAAAUCAUGGAAAUGGAAAAUGGAUAUGCGGGCUUUCACAUGUGGACAAAGUUAUGUGUUGGUGCGCGAUUCUACGCGAAAUUUUAACCCGUUAACGAAACGAAAGGUAAAUGUAGUGCACGUUUCAUAAUGCGGUUUGCCAAAAACUAGGUGAUUGUUGGAUAAAUAACAAAAAAAAUGAUUUUCCAUUCUUCAUAAGAAAUAUUUCAAAAUACAUAUUUUACGUUUCUACUUAGUACUGCAAGAUAAUUCAAUUCAUUUGAACGUACGUUGAAAUUUUCCAAUAUUGUAAAUCGAAUAAAUUUUUCUCCAUCCAUUAUUCCAAAAUUUAUGCUGAGAAAUUGAUAUUUUUCCCAAAAAUUGAAUGUAACACAAUUUCAAUAUGAUAUACGAGGUAUAUCCACAAAGAAAGUUCCAUUUGGUUAUAAAAGAACAUACGUGCAGGUCAAAAAACAUAUUUUUCAUGCUGUUAACCUUAUUUUCUAUGUAAUUUCGAAAAUUUUUUUAAACACUUGUUUUUGCCUCCUCCAUGUUCUCCGGCUCGUUUCAACUUUGAAAGAGAAAUUUCAGGUGUAAGAAGAGAUGAAAGUCGGUAGGAGCAAGGCCCGACCUAUAAGGAGGAUGAUCAAACACACCCCAGCCAAAUUCUUGAAGCGGUUUUUAUGUCACGUCACAGUGCGAGAUGGGGCAUUAUCGUGAAAAAAAAAACAAAAACCAUUUGACAGUAAUCCACGGAGUUUGCUCUAUUUCUUAAUUUCCACGCAUGUGCCUAAAUCAAACGGCAAAACGUCGGAGAAAACGGUGGAAAUGAGUUUUCGAGGUGUCGAAAUUUGCAUCCCCCUAUGACUAUUCGAAAUAUAGGUUUUCAUUGCAACUUAGAAAAGGAACUUACAUUGUGGAUGUACCUCGUAUGAAAGAAAUACUAAAAUCAGUUAUUAAAACGUUUUAUUCAAAUUUUCCGUCCGAAUUAUUGCAUCAAAUUUCGAUUGAAAUGAUUUUUUUGUUAUUUAUUGAGUGAGCAGAACUUUGAUCAGAUGUUGGUUUUUGUGUUUAUUUCUAGGAAUUAUUUCUAGGAAUAUUUUGUUGAUAUUAAUACACUCACAGAUUUUAAAAUUAUUGAAGAAAAAUAGUUUGAAUUUAUUUUUGAAUAACUUUUUUAACAUUCAGAAAGUUUUAACAAACAUCCAAUUAAAUUUACAAAACAAUGUUUUCGAAAUCUUUAGGGAUCUUUUGAAAUUUGAAGUUAAAUUUAAAUAUUUCAUUUGAGUAUAAAAUUCAUAAUUCACUCGUGUUUAAAGCAAGUUUAUUCUCUAAAUUAUUACUCAGAUUACUCAGAAUAUGUCGCAAAUUUCGACUACUCCCUUAGAUUCAAACAGAAGAUUGUUAAUAUUUAUGACCAAAGCUAAUUUUACUCAUUAUAUGAUAUUGAUCAAAUAAAAUCUUGACUUUGUUAUUUUAGAUUGAUUAAUUCUUUUCAGCGUUUACUGUAACACAUUUAAGUCCAGUAAAUAUUUAAUGAAUAAUAAUGAUGAUAAUCAUAUGAUAGAAUUGCUCCAAUACACCUCAAAUUCACUUUGAUUCGAAAUAGUAGUACAUGGAUCCUUCUGAUCAAUAUAAAUGAUAAUUAAGUAACUUGAAAAUGUGAUUUCCAUUCGAACGUCUUUCUGAGUAAUCUGUUGAGAUUUUACUGAUCUUUGAGAACAAAUCUGUUGGGUUAAUGAGAUGAUUGUGUGUUGAAUAUCUUUGGAAUUUGAUCAAAAAUGAGGCAGGCAACCGCCGCGAUAUGGAAAAGUGAUUCGUAAUUUUCGGUAUCGGUUUCGGUGUGCCGCGAUUCGAUUUUAUGUGAUGGAAAUCAUGGAAAUGGAAAAUUGAUAUGCGGGCUUUCCUUUGUGGACAAAGUUAUGUGUUUGUGCGCGAUUCGACGCGAAAUUUUAACCCGUUAACGAAACGAAAAAUAUAUAGUGGGCGAAUCGAUAAAGCGGUAUGCCAAAAGGUAGGUGAUUGUUGAAUAAAUAACAAAAAAACAUAUUUUUUCAUUUUUUAUAACAAAUAUGUAUU